CCUACGGGAUGCAGCAGUCGAGAAUCAUUCACAAUGGGGGAAACCCUGAUGGUGCGACGCCGCGUGGGGGAAUGAAGGUCUUCGGAUUGUAAACCCCUGUCAUGUGGGAGCAAAUUAAAAAGAUAGUACCACAAGAGGAAGAGACGGCUAACUCUGUGCCAGCAGCCGCGGUAAUACAGAGGUCUCAAGCGUUGUUCGGAAUCACUGGGCGGAAAGCGUGCGUAGGCUGUUUCGUAAGUCGUGUGUGAAAGGCGCGGGCUCAACCCGCGGACGGCACAUGAUACUGCGAGACUAGAGUAAUGGAGGGGGAACCGGAAUUCUCGGUGUAGCAGUGAAAUGCGUAGAUAUCGAGAGGAACACUCGUGGCGAAGGCGGGUUCCUGGACAUUAACUGACGCUGAGGCACGAAGGCCAGGGGAGCGAAAGGGAUUAGAUACCCGUGUAGUC
rnacentral:rRNA from 1 species